GGCGGUCGUCGGACCUCGGGACUCGGGGGCUGGCGGCGGCUUCUCCUGCGGCGGGGCCUCCGGUGGCCCCGGGGCGCGAGCUCAGGUACUGUUCAAGGGAAUAUUAGAACAGCAUGAUUUUGACAACGUUGUAGAGGAAUCUUUUCGUUUAUCUGGUCCUGCCAUAUGCCCACCUCUGGCUGUUCUGAAAAAAAUCAACCUACGAAUCGUGUUCGCAGAAAACAGCUCUUCCCGUGGUUCUUUGCUCUACACCCAACAUCUUUCAGGCUCAAAUUUUUCAUACCUGCUGUUAAAAGUUCUAGGGCAGAAAAUGGAAUUGAGCUCAUCUAGGUGGUGUGCUACUGUUUUUGCAAGUACGCCACUGGGAUAGUGAACCAGAGAAUGAACACGUAGAGGAAUAGAUGUUUUACUUAAAAAAAAUCAUUUCAUCAGAGGAACUGCCUGAUAUUCUGCAGCGGAAGUUUUGCUAUAAAUUUUGAAAAGGGAAGAAAAAGGCAUUCUAGAGAAUAACAUCUUUAGUGUUUAUAAUCUCAUUUUGAAUCCUAAAAACUUGAAUACUGGUGUGGUGACCGCUUUGUAAGCCCUGACUGUGUUCUCGUGGAUCCCUAAAGUGACUUGUCAGUAAGCCUGAUGGCAGAAUGCCGAAAUUGGCUUAAAAGAAUUCAUGGAGAAAGUCCCGCUAGUGCAGCACUGGGAAUGCAAAGUGAAAAAUGGGAAGACUUUAUCACCAGUGGUAUUGUCUCAUUUAAUAGACUUUUCUGGGCUGAAAAAGUGGGGAUAUACAGUGAACUUUUUAAAAUAAGAUGAGCAACAUCUCUCAGUUGAUGGUUUCUAACCUGAGGCCGACAUUUAAUAAGCCAAAGUGCAAUGUACUGGUGCUUCUUGAUCAGACACGACCUCUGAUAAACGUGUUAACGGUGCUAUAAAACACAUCCCUUUAUUUUUUCUAAUGAAGAGCAAGGUAAAGCUUCAGAGAUAUUCACAAUCAUCAUUUUCUUAAGUCUUAGAGUAGCAUGUUGCUGUACUUUGUGUACAUCGGUAGAAAACGGAUUCCCUCAAAGCCCAUUUUGGAUACAAUAGCAAAAAGUUGUUUCUCCUACUUGUCAAACAGAAACUUUCACCCAGCCAGGUUUCUGAGUGAAUCAGUACAAUUAGAAAAACUUACUUGCUACUUGCUACCAAGACCCAUACUUUGUUUAGAAAACUAGAAAAUAUGCCAUUCCCUCAUUUUGAUUGUUUUCUGCCCUGAAUACUGUUGAAAUUCCUGAAUUCAUAUUUGCUGAUUAAAUGUCAUCUAUUUGACUUUAUGGUAAA